rnacentral:rRNA from 1 species
UCCGUAGGGGUAGUCUGCGGAGGGAUCAUUACACAACAAAAAUAUGAGGGUGUGGUUUGCUGGCAACAGCGUCCGCCCCAAGUAUUUUUCACCCAUGUCUUUUGCGCACUUUUUGUUUCCUGGGCGAGUUCGCUCGCCACCAGGACCCAACCAUAAACCUUUUUUUAUGCAGUUGCAAUCAGCGUCAGUAUAAUAAUUCAAUUUAUUAAAACUUUCAACAACGGAUCUCUUGGUUCUGGCAUCGAUGAAGAACGCAGCGAAAUGCGAUACGUAGUGUGAAUUGCAGAAUUCAGUGAAUCAUCGAAUCUUUGAACGCACAUUGCGCCCUUUGGUAUUCCAAAGGGCAUGCCUGUUCGAGCGUCAUUUGUACCCUCAAGCUUUGCUUGGUGUUGGGCGUCUUUUUGUCUCUCCCCUUGUUGGGGGAGACUCGCCUUAAAACGAUUGGCAGCCGACCUACUGGUUUUCGGAGCGCAGCACAAAUUUGCGCCUUCCAAUCCACGGGGCGGCAUCCAGCAAGCCUUUGUUUUCUAUAACAAAUCCACAUUUUGACCUCGGAUCAGGUAGGGAUACCCGCUGAACUUAAGCAUAUCAAAAA